rnacentral:rRNA from 1 species
UACAGAGGUCCCAAGCGUUGUUCGGAUUCACUGGGCGUAAAGGGUGCGUAGGCGGUCGGGUAAGUCUGACGUGAAAUCUUCAAGCUCAACUUGGAAACUGCGUCCGAUACUAUUCGGCUAGAGGAAUGGAGGGGAGACUGGAAUACUUGGUGUAGCAGUGAAAUGCGUAGAUAUCAAGUGGAACACCAGUGGCGAAGGCGAGUCUCUGGACAUUUCCUGACGCUGAGGCACGAAAGCCAGGGGAGCAAAUGGG